ACUAUAUGAUAAAAAAUAAAAUUAUAAGAUAGAAAGGGGAUUAGGGCUAACCUGUGUUUGUGACCCUUGAACUCUACGUUCUUCCUCUUCUCUUCUCGCGAGCUACGGCGGAGGGGCUCCGGCGAAGUCAAAUUCAGACGCGACGGCCACCUUCCUUCGUUCUCAAACUCACUCUGAUUUCACUUCCGGUCCUCUCUCGAUCUCAGACUUUCUUCAGCUUUCAUGACGCGUCAGGAUUCUCUCAGAUUCGCACUCGACUCCUCUCUCGGUUCAAUCUCCCUCUCGAUUCAAAUCGUCACUCUCUCAACCUCGCCACCGGCAGUAUGAUGCAGUGUUAUGGAUGUGUGCAGAGGUACGUUCUUGCCUCGAAUUGAAGUGUUGAAUCGUUGGUGAUUGAGGAUGUUGCUGAAUCGAUUCGGAGACACAGCUUUUCCGUGAGGAUUUGAAGAAGAUCGAUGAAGAAUUGCACAGGGAGAGAUGAAGAUUUGUGGUGAUUGUUGAAGAUUCUCUCUGAAUCGAAGAGUGAAGAUUCGAGGAUGAAGAGAAAGGAUUGGAGAUUGAAUCCAGAAGUUUGUUACGUUUCUGUUAGAGUGGUGAUUGAAGGAGGUCGAUUGGAGAUGAAGGUGAUGGAAAGAGAUGGAUGAAGCUCUGAAAGAUGAAGAAUCGAGUAGAGUGGUUAUGAAGAAGAUGGCUUGGAGAACGGUGGGAGAGAUUGAAGAUGAGAGUGAAUGGUGGUGGAUGAGCGUGUAUGCUAUGGUGAAUGAGUGUGGAAGUUCAGAAAUGGUGAAAAAUGGAUCGAGAGAGAGAAUCUGAAGAUGAUGGUUCGAUUAUAUAGAGGUUGAAGGAGAGGAAAUCAGUUAGAAGUUGAAGAACCUGGGCCGUUGGAUCGAAGUAGUUAGUUAAAGGAAUGGAAGGUGUGGAUUGAGUCUGUCAAGAGGUGUUUGAUUCUGACUGUUAAUCAAUAUGUCACAAUUCUCGGCCAAGCCUGAUGUUUUAUGCACCGGCCUUGCCGCGGUGUGACUUUGAAUUGGUUCUAAACAGAUGCCAGCGGGAUAGUGUAAGCACGAAGUCAAAUUCUGAUGUGUCUGAGUGUGCAGAGCUGGAAAGAUUCUCAAUUCGGUAUAAUUAGAAGUCGCGGGUGGCUCCUUCGACCGUAUGGGCUGACAGCGACAUGGCGUUUGCUUGCAGACGGAACAAGAUGAUGAGCGUGGUUGCAAUUUGAGGCUCCGUGAUGUGUCUCAGGUCUGAUUCAGUACAGGUACGAACCGGGCGUAGAUUGAACGGAGUUGUGACAGGUUAAAAACUAAUGUAAUCUUUGAAUGUGUUUGUGGUAAUUUGUUCGAAACUGAACUGAAUGCGAACUGUCGUGCUAUGAACUUUGAGAUGGAGAUUGGAUUUGGAUUGUAUGGAAACAACGGGGAUUAGCUUUUUUCUGUCAGGAUCGGAAUGUACAACUUGGUUAAUUGAUGUUAGUUUGAAAUCAAAAAUCAAAAUGUUGGAAACUUAGUAUGCUAAGGUGUAUGCAGUGGGGUCUGAAGGUGUAUUUGGCAUGAGGAUUCAAGAGUUGAGGAUUAAGCAGAAUGAUAUGCACUUGCCGAUUGAGAUCCCAUUUCGCCACUCACAUGUCUGGUAGUUACACGUUGAAAUCGUCUCAUAACUGGAUGGUAAAGCCAUGUAGAAAUAGCACACGAUUCUGAAGGACAAAUUCUGAUGUAAUCCUUUUUUAUUAAGGUGUAGCAUCAUGAUAUCUUGUAGUAACCUUUUUUUGAAUUUUUGCAUGGUGGUAAGUUUUUGCAUGGCUAUAUGUAAUAUAUGAUUAAUGAUGA